rnacentral:rRNA from 2 species
UUGACCUCAAAUCAGGUAGGACUACCCGCUGAACUUAAGCAUAUCAAUAAGCGGAGGAAAAGAAACUAACAAGGAUUCCCCUAGUAACUGCGAGUGAAGCGGGAAAAGCUCAAAUUUUGAAUCUGGCAGUCUUAAUUGAUUGUCCGAAUUGUAAUCUAGAGAAGCGUCUUCCGCGCUGGACCGUGUACAAGUCUCCUGA